rnacentral:rRNA from 2 species
CAAUUAUACCGCGAAACUGCGAAUGGCUCAUUAAAUCAGUUAUCGUUUAUUUGAUAGUACCUUACUACUUGGACAACCGUGGUAAUUCUAGAGCUAAUACAUGCUAAAAAUCCCGACUCACGAAGGGAUGUAUUUAUUAGAUUAAAAACCAAUGCCCCUCGGGGCUUUCUGGUGAUUCAUAAUAACUUCUCGAAUCGCAUGGCCUUGCGCCGGCGAUGGUUCAUUCAAAUUUCUGCCCUAUCAACUUUCGAUGGCAGGGUCUUGGCCUGCCAUGGUUACAACGGGUAACGGAGGGUUAGGGCUCGACCCCGGAGAAGGAGCCUGAGAAACGGCUACUACAUCCAAGGAAGGCAGCAGGCGCGCAAAUUACCCAAUCCCGACACGGGGAGGUAGUGACAAUAAAUACUGAUACAGGGCUCUUUUGGGUCUUGUAAUUGGAAUGAGUACAAUUUAAAUCCCUUAACGAGGAACAAUUGGAGGGCAAGUCUGGUGCCAGCAGCCGCGGUAAUUCCAGCUCCAAUAGCGUAUAUUAAAGUUGUUGCAGUUAAAAAGCUCGUAGUUGAACCUUGGGCCUGGCUGGCCGGUCCGCCUCACCGCGUGCACUGGUUCGGCCGGGCCUUUCCCUCUGGGGAGCCCCAUGCCCUUCACUGGGUGUGGCGGGGAACCAGGACUUUUACUGUGAAAAAAUUAGAGUGUUCAAAGCAGGCCUAUGCUCGAAUACAUCAGCAUGGAAUAAUAGAAUAGGACGUGUGGUUCUAUUUUGUUGGUUUCUAGGACCGCCGUAAUGAUUAAUAGGGACAGUCGGGGGCAUCAGUAUUCAAUUGUCAGAGGUGAAAUUCUUGGAUUUAUUGAAGACUAACUACUGCGAAAGCAUUUGCCAAGGAUGUUUUCAUUAAUCAGGAACGAAAGUUAGGGGAUCGAAGACGAUCAGAUACCGUCGUAGUCUUAACCAUAAACUAUGCCGACUAGGGAUCGGACGAUGUUAUUUUUUGACUCGUUCGGCACCUUACGAGAAAUCAAAGUCUUUGGG